rnacentral:rRNA from 1 species
GMGGCCGCUCUGGUUUUUCCGGCGGAGGUUACUGCUAUCGAGGUCCGACUAAGCCAUGCGAGUCGAAUGUAGCAAUACAUGGCGUACUGCUCAGUAACACGUGGACAGCCUACCCUCAGCACGGGGAUGAACCUGGGAAACUGGGUAUAUACCCGAUAGUUCUGGGAAGCUGGAAUGCUUCCAGGACGAAAGCUCCGGCGACUGAGGAUGGGUCUGCGGCCUAUCAGGUAGUAGUGGGUGUAAUGUACCUACUAGCCUACGAAGGGUACGGGUUGUGAGAGCAAGAGCCCGGAGAUGGAUUCUGAGACACGAAUCCAGGCCCUACGGGGUGCAGCAGGCGCGAAAACUUUACAAUGCUGGCAACAGCGAUAAGGGAACCUCGAGUGCCAGGUUACAAAUCUGGCUGUCGUGAUGCCUAAAAAGCAUUGCAUAGCAAGGGCCGGGCAAGACCGGUGCCAGCCGCCGCGGUAACACCGGCGGCUCGAGUGGUAACCGUUAUUAUUGGGUCUAAAGGGUCUGUAACCGGCCAGAUAAGUCUCUUGGGAAAUCCGGCAGCUCAACCUGUCGGGCUUUCAGGAGAUACUGUCUGGCUCGAGGCCGGGAGAGGUGAGAGGUACUUCAGGGGUAGGGGUGAAAUCUUGUAAUCCUUGAAGGACCACCAGUGGCGAAGGCGUCUCACCAGAACGGACCUGACGGCAAGGGACGAAAGCUAGGGGCACGAACCGGAUUAGAUACCCGGGUAGUCCUAGCCGUAAACGAUACUCGCUAGGUGUCGGCCACGGUGCGACCGUGGUCGGUGCCGUAGGGAAGCCGUGAAGCGAGCCACCUGGGAAGUACGGCCGCAAGGCUGAAACUUAAAGGAAUUGGCGGGGGAGCACCACAACGGGUGGAGCUUGCGGUUUAAUUGGAUUCAACGCCGGAAAUCUUACCGGGACCGACAGCAAGAUGAAGCCCAGGCUGAAGACUUUGCCGGAUUAGCUGAGAGGUGGUGCAUGGCCGUCGUCAGUUCGUACUGCGAAGCAUCCUGUUAAGUCAGGCAACGAGCGAGACCC